rnacentral:rRNA from 1 species
UACAGAGGGUGCAAACGUUGCUCGGAAUCAUUGGGCGUAAAGCGCGUGUAGGCGGACGAACAAGCCUGGGGUGAAAGGUUGGGGCUCAACCCCAAGAGUGCCCUGGGGACUGUUCGUCUGGAGGCCGGCAGAGGAGAGUGGAAUUCCUGGUGUAGCGGUGGAAUGCGUAGAGAUCGAGAGGAACACCUGCGGCGAAGGCGGGUAGCUGGGCCGACACUGACGCUGAGGCGCGAAAGCCAGGGGAGCGAACGGG